rnacentral:rRNA from 1 species
UACGUAGGGUGCGAGCGUUAAUCGGAAUUACUGGGCGUAAAGCGUGCGCAGGCGGUUCGUUGUGUCUGAUGUGAAAGCCCCGGGCUCAACCUGGGAAUGGCAUUGGAAACUGGCGAGCUGGAGUGUGGCAGAGGGGGGUGGAAUUCCGCGUGUAGCAGUGAAAUGCGUAGAGAUGCGGAGGAACACCGAUGGCGAAGGCAAUCCCCUGGGCCUGCACUGACGCUCAUGCACGAAAGCGUGGGGAGCAAACAGG